UUUCAGACCUGCAGUAUGUGGACACAUGUUGGGGUUGACAGCAGAUAAGGAGGAGGCUUGGAGAAGUGGAUCCAGAAAGACAACCCAUGGACAGCCCAGAUGGAGCAGAAUCUUACCAACUGCUUCGCACUCGCUCCUGGCGGACGUCCUCCUGCCUCUGACAGCCGGUAAUCACUGCAUCAGCUACAUAAUCCUCCCAAGCGCUCAAACAGGAGGCAGCUAUCACAAUAUUCCCAGCAUUUGGACCUGUAGUGGACAUGGAGACGCCGUAGUACCUGACUGAUUCUACAUUUUGGGAUUUCUGA